rnacentral:rRNA from 1 species
AUUGAACGCUGGCGGCAGGCCUAACACAUGCAAGUCGAGCGGCAGCGACUUAACUGAACCUUCGGGGAACGUUAAGGGCGGCGAGCGGCGGACGGGUGAGUAAUGCCUGGGAAUAUGCCCUGAUGUGGGGGAUAACUAUUGGAAACGAUAGCUAAUACCGCAUAAUCUCUUCGGAGCAAAGAGGGGGACCUUCGGGCCUCUCGCGUCAGGAUUAGCCCAGGUGGGAUUAGCUUGUUGGUGAGGUAAUGGCUCACCAAGGCAACGAUCCCUAGCUGGUCUGAGAGGAUGAUCAGCCACACUGGAACUGAGACACGGUCCAGACUCCUACGGGAGGCAGCAGUGGGGAAUAUUGCACAAUGGGGGUAACCCUGAUGCAGCCAUGCCGCGUGUGUGAAGAAGGCCUUCGGGUUGUAAAGCACUUUCAGUAGGGAGGAAGGUAGUGUAGUUAACACCUGCAUUAUUUGACGUUACCUACAGAAGAAGCACCGGCUAACUCCGUGCCAGCAGCCGCGGUAAUACGGAGGGUGCGAGCGUUAAUCGGAAUUACUGGGCGUAAAGCGCAUGCAGGCGGCCUGUUAAGUCAGAUGUGAAAGCCCGGGGCUUAACCUCGGAAUUGCAUUUGAAACUGGCAGGCUAGAGUCUUGUAGAGGGGGGUAGAAUUUCAGGUGUAGCGGUGAAAUGCGUAGAGAUCUGAAGGAAUACCAGUGGCGAAGGCGGCCCCCUGGACAAAGACUGACGCUCAGAUGCGAAAGCGUGGGGAGCAAACAGG